UUAAAGUUCAGAGGUCCUAAGCAGGUUGUUCUAUAUUAGCGGUCUGUCAGUACUUAUAUUGACAGUUUGAAAAUAGAAGUUAAUAAAUUAUAAUGCUAAGCCACUGAAAUCAACCAUCCCUUUCCUCCAAACACAGAUGUUCUGAUGGGCAGUGGAAACAGACUGGUCCAUCAGAUCAGCUGGUGAACAUUGCCAGGUGCCUCAUCUGAUCAGAAGAAUCUCCUUGGGAUGCUUGCUAAUCAUCCUGAUUUCUAGGCUUCUAUUUGGGAUAUUCUGGUGUGAUAGGCUUGGAACAGGAUCCAGAAACUGGAAUUUUUAAUAAGCACAAGUCUUGUAGUCUGGGAGAAGAUGAUUUCCUUCAUUAGAAAAAGUCAAGAUUCAGACAAGAAGUGGCUUGGAAUUGUUUGUUUCCCUCUUGAGCUGGUAGCCGUUAUCUAAGAAUGUAUUGGUGCUUCUAAGACCCUCUUCUGCGUCCAUCUCUCACUCGCUGCCCUGAUUACGGUGCUUGUCAGCUGUGUCCAUAUUGGUACCCCAAUCCUUUGUAAAUUCCAGUAUAAACCCCAAGACAAACAGCAGCGUUACCAUGGCGAGUUGUUAGCUGGAAUGAAAAUGGAGCUGUCCCAGCUCAUGGUGAAAUAGAAUCAAAGGCCCACAUGUUUAUUCUUAUAGUUCUCCACCAUUAUGUUGGAGACAUACACUGUCUGCUCUGUAAUUCAGCAUGCUUUCAUAAUUCUAAUGAGAAUGAAGAUAUGAGACAGAAUUAGUACUUCCUGUAGGCCUUGGACAAAUCAUUCCUUUACACCACGUGUAAGCUUUGGCUAGGAGACUAAUGCCAGGUGCUAGGAGAGAAAUGGUGAGAAGGGGGACAGCUAUCUUUGCCUCAAGUAGCAUGAGAUACAGUCAGGGAGGCAGACUACCAAACAGAGCAUUCUUUUCUGAAAUGAUGGGACAUUGACAUGGGGAAUGCAGUUAGAUGUGGGAGCACAUUUGAGGAGCACCGAACCAGAUGCAGAGAGAGACCAAACGAAAAAACUAUGGGAAUUUUAAAUGAGGCUGGAAAAGAAUGCCAGCCGUCUACAUAAAGAGUGAAAGAGUGGGCGCAAGAGAGAGGCACAUUCACCGUGAACAGUCUUCACUGUGGUUCUUCAGUUUCUGGGGAUACUCACUGAUGAACCACAAUAGCACUGUAUCUCUGCCAUUCCAUGCAUCAGAGCAACACGAUUAUUCACCAGCCGUGCGAGGGGUUGACCAGUCCUCGGUGGAGAAAGAAGUUACAGGCUCUAAUAUUCAAUCAUCAAAGUGUCCUGCCAGGGCUUUAUGAUGCUUUCCCCAAAAUCUAGAUACUUAUCAUAACUGUGUACAUGCUCCCAUGAAUUCCUACAGUAUCUUAGUCAGAUGUCUGGGAGCACGGGAAAACCAAUUAAACAUGUCUAUAACCUAGGGGAUUGUCUCCUUUAGUCACACAGGGAAUAUUUGCUUACUAUCUUUAAAAGUUGGAAAGAUUAAAAUAUAAAAUUAAAAUCAACAUUAUGUUACUUUACAAAUUAAAAUUCUAUUAACUUCUUGUUGUAAUUAAUUCUAGUUUUUUAUGUGUGAUAAUUUUUGUGCACUUUUUUUUCAUUUAAAAUUUACAUAUUCCUGCUUUUAAAAUGUGGAAAAUGCAGAAUAGUAGAAAGAAAAGUUAAUUAAGAACUGUACUACUCAGGGGUUGAAGAGAUGGCUCAGUGGUUAAGGGAACUGACUGUUCUUCCAGAGACCCUGGUUCAAUU